GAACGCUGGCGGCGGCUUACACAUGCAAGUCGAGCGGUAACAUUUCUAGCUUGCUAGAAGAUGACGAGCGGCGGACGGGUGAGUAACGCGUAGGAAUCUGCCUAGUAGUGGGGGACAACAUGUGGAAACGCAUGCUAAUACCGCAUACGCCCUACGGGGGAAAGGAGGGGAUCUUCGGACCUUUCGCUAUUAGAUGAGCCUGCGUGAGAUUAGCUAGUUGGUGGGGUAAAGGCCUACCAAGGCGACGAUCUCUAGCUGGUCUGAGAGGAUGAUCAGCCACACUGGGACUGAGACACGGCCCAGACUCCUACGGGAGGCAGCAGUGGGGAAUAUUGGACAAUGGGCGCAAGCCUGAUCCAGCCAUGCCGCGUGUGUGAAGAAGGCCUUAGGGUUGUAAAGCACUUUCAGGAGUGAGGAAGGGCGUAUAGUUAAUACCUGUAUGUUUUGACGUUAACUCCAGAAGAAGCACCGGCUAACUCUGUGCCAGCAGCCGCGGUAAUACAGAGGGUGCGAGCGUUAAUCGGAAUUACUGGGCGUAAAGCGCGCGUANGCGGUUUGUUAAGUCGGAUGUGAAAUCCCAGGGCUCAACCUUGGAAUGGCACCCGAUACUGGCAGGCUAAAGUACGGUAG
rnacentral:rRNA from 1 species